CCUACGGGUGGCAGCAGUGGGGAAUAUUGCACAAUGGGGGAAACCCUGAUGCAGCGACGCCGCGUGAGUGAAGAAGUAUUUCGGUAUGUAAAGCUCUAUCAGCAGGGAAGAAAAUGACGGUACCUGAUUAAGAAGUCCCGGCCAACUACGUGCCAGCAGCCGCGGUAAUACGUAGGGGGCAAGCGUUAGCCGGAUUUACUGGGUGUAAAGGGAGCGUAGACGGUGAUGCAAGUCAGAAGUGAAAGCCCGGGGCUCAAAUCCGGGAAUGCUUUUGAAACUGUGUAACGGGAGUGCAGGAGAGGAGAGCGGAAUUACAGGUGUAGCGGUGAAAUGAGUAGAUAUCAGGAGGAACACCAGUGGCGAAGGCGGCUUACUGGACUGUAACUGACGUUGAGGCUCGAAAGCGUGGGGAGCAAACAGGAUUAGAUACCCGAGUAGUC
rnacentral:rRNA from 1 species